rnacentral:rRNA from 1 species
CAGUAGCGUAUAUUAAUGUUGCUGCAGUUAAAAAGCUCGUAGUUGGAUUUCUGAUAUGAUUCACUUGGCCCGCCAGCUAUGCUGUGUGUGUGCUUUGGUGCAUCUAUCAUCCUUCAAGUAAGGCUGUGUUGCCGAAAGGUAUACGCUGUUCGAACUUGAUCUGUUACUUUGAAAAAUUAGAGUGUUUCAAGCAAGCUUACGCUUAUGAAUACCUUAGCAUGGAAUGACGAUAUAGGACUUUGGUCUCUAUCUUGUUGGUUCAGGAGCUGAAGUAAUGAUUGAUAGGGAUGGUUGGGGGUGCUAGUAUUCCAUGGCCAGAGGUGAAAUUCUUGGAUUCAUGGAAGACUAACUUAUGCGAAAGCAUUCACCAAGGACAUCUUCUUUAAUCAAGAACGAAAGUUGGGGGAUCGAAGACGAUUAGAUACCA